UGUUGAGAAGUGUUUGAGGGAUGCUAAGAUGGAUAAGAGCACCGUACAUGAUGUUGUCCUUGUUGGUGGCUCCACUAGGAUUCCAAAGGUGCAGCAGCUAUUGCAAGAUUUCUUCAAUGGAAAGGAGCUUUGCAAGAGUAUCAACCCAGAUGAAGCCGUUGCUUAUGGUGCUGCUGUCCAGGCUGCCAUCUUGAGCGGUGAAGGCAAUGAGAAGGUGCAGGAUCUACUGCUCUUGGAUGUCACUCCCCUGUCCCUUGGUCUCGAAACUGCUGGUGGGGUCAUGACAGUUUUGAUCCCAAGGAACACUACCAUUCCAACCAAGAAGGAGCAAGUUUUCUCUACCUACUCUGACAAUCAACCUGGUGUGUUGAUCCAGGUUUAUGAGGGUGAGAGGACGAGAACUAGGGACAAUAAUUUACUGGGUAAAUUUGAGCUCUCAGGCAUUCCCCCUGCACCAAGGGGUGUGCCCCAGAUCACUGUGUGCUUUGAUAUUGAUGCCAAUGGUAUCUUAAAUGUUUCUGCUGAGGACAAGACCACUGGCCAGAAGAAUAAGAUUACAAUCACCAAUGACAAGGGAAGGCUGUCUAAGGAAGAGAUUGAGAAAAUGGUACAGGAAGCUGAAAAGUACAAAUCUGAAGAUGAAGAGCAUAAGAAGAAGGUUGAGGCAAAGAAUGCUUUGGAGAAUUAUUCCUACAAUAUGAGGAACACGGUGAAGGAUGAGAAGAUCAGUUCCAAGUUGGCUGCUGCUGACAAGAAGAAGAUCGAGGAUGCCAUCGAUCAGGCCAUUCAGUGGCUAGACAGCAACCAACUUGCAGAGGCAGAUGAAUUUGAGGACAAGAUGAAAGAGCUCGAGAGCAUCUGCAAUCCGAUAAUUGCCAAGAUGUACCAAGGUGCUGGUGCUGACAUGGGUGGUGGCAUGGAUGAUGAUACUCCUCCAGCGGGUGGCAGCGGUGCAGGCCCCAAGAUUGAGGAAGUUGACUAAGGAAUCUAUUUGAUGUUGUAGCAGGGUGAUGAAAAAAAUCAUUUGGCCGAUCUAUUGAUCGGCAUGAUUUUAAUGCUUUAGUUUCUAUUUUUACUUAGUUUGCUAGACAUUAUCAUCUUUUCUGUCAUCCAUUUUUAUUUAAGAUUUUAUGCCAUUAGCGGGACAAAUUUUCUGAUGCUACAUUGGCGGCUUAAUGCUGCAUUAUUUAUAAAACAGUUGCGAGAAUUUAUUCCAACUUAGUUUUGUUUUGUGGUAGAAGUUCAAAUAGAAGAUUAAUAGAUUUUUUUAUGUUUGUUUUAGAUGAAUCGAUGAAAGUGCAGGAAUAGAGAGUAGAGUACUUUAGAAUCAAGGGUUUGGGCUUUAAAUUAAAUAGAACAAAGAUAAAAUAAAUAUAUUGCAAGUUUCAUGAAGGUUAAACUGAUGAAAUGAAAUGGGUUAUUUUUGAUAGAGUGUUAUUGUCUUGAAUGGGUUAUUUUUGGUAGUGUUAUUGUCUUGAAUGGGUUAUUUUUGGU
rnacentral:misc_RNA from 1 species